UGCCAACACAGACUCGACCGAGGUGGUUCUGAACCGGAUCCCCCUGCCUGUUCUGGCCCGCUUUGUACGCGUCAGACCCCAGACCUGGAAGACAGGCAUCGCCCUGCGCUUGGAGCUCUACGGGUGUCAGAUCACCGACGCUCCAUGUUCUGAGAUGCAGGGGAUGCUGUCCGGCCUGCUGCCCGACUCCCAGAUCACGGCGUCAUCCAUGAGGGAUAUCCACGGCUCCAUGGGGACGGCCAGGCUGGUAGCCAGCAGGUCAGGAUGGUUCCCCAGCCCAACACAGCCUCUGGCCGGGGAGGAGUGGCUUCAGGUGGACUUGGGGGUCCCCAAGACCGUACGCGGCGUCAUCACCCAGGGAGUCAGGACAGUGGAGG